CCCAACCAGACCCGCCCCACUGAACGAGACGAGAAGGCGUGUCGCCGGCGGAAGGCGACCCGCCCGACCCAACACUCCCCAGCCUGCCAGCCAUGUCGGCGCGUGACCGCGAGACGGCCGAGGCGCUGGUGCGGCUCGCCGCCUCGCUGGACGGGGCGGUGCUCGGCCUCGGCACGGCGGCCGUCGCAGUAGCGUCAUGGGUCAAGUACCUCGCCGUCUCGGGGCAGCUGCGCCUCGUCGCCUCCGCGGCGGCGUCCUCCAUCUCCGACCUCCACUCCCUGCUCCCUGGCAGCGGCGGAGAGCCGCGGCUCGCGGCGGUGCGGGGCUACGUGCGCCCCAAACCGGGGGGCACGAUCCUCCGCACCCCGUUCUCCGGGGAGCACGGGGUCGUCACCAAGCACACCCAGAUGUGCUUGUUCACGGAAUGGAGAGGCAUCUUUGGAUGGACCUUUGAUCUGCAUGCUCUUCUUUUCAGAUCAUGGAAGGAACAGAUUGUAACAUCUUUUAGAACGGUUCCGUUUGUUCUUGCCAGUUCUGAGAUUGGAAACCCUAUUGGGAUGGUUUAUAUCAAUGUAGAGAAGGCGGAUCAACCAUUACCUCUUACAACUGUGUUUCAUAAACUUAUCCCAAUUGAGACAACUCCUUACACAUUGUUUCAAACUAUUAUUGGCAAUGGCUAUCCCAUUGCAUUAUUGGAUGAAGAAAAAAUACUACCAAUUGGAAAGGAGCUUACAGCAAUAGGACUAUGUCGAGCAAAGGAUGAAAGUGUUGAGAUCAGCUCAUGCCCAGAUCUCCCCUUUUUCUUAUCUGAGCUGACCAAGGAUGAGAUGCAAGCUCAGCUGGCUUCGCGUGCUAGGACACUCUUUUGGGGUAGUAUUGUUUUGGGAACCUUGUCUGUUUGCCUAAUGGGCCGUGCCAUUUACAGGUGCUGGAAGAGAAUCAAACUGCGGAGAGAGGCUAGGCAAGCACAACAGUUAUUUGAGGAUGCUGAAGAUGCUAUUCAAGAAGGUGACUCCAGUGAUGAAGAAGUAGGGGACGGGCAGCUAUGUGUUGUGUGCUUAAGGAGGAGAAGGAAAGCAGCUUUUAUUCCUUGUGGGCAUCUUGUCUGCUGUUGCAAAUGUGCAUUAAGAAUGGAACGUGAGGCUGAACCAUUGUGCCCGAUGUGUCGGCAGGACAUCAGAUACAUGAUGAGGAUUUAUGACUCUUGAGAAAAUGUUAACACAUUGCUUCAAUCUAGGAACUGGCAGCAACUGUCUUGAAUAGUGUGGUUGCUGCAGUGAUUGUUCAAAUAAUGGUCCCUUUGCUGAUAAAAUCUCUGACACUGGCAGGUCCUUUUUACUAGCUGUCCCUGCAAACAUGAGGAGCACAACUGGUUAUCGUCCUGGACAUUUUCCUAGUCUAGACUACUACCUAACCGGCUGCCAUGGAUUUGUGAAUAUAUAAAAAGUUUGAACCCCUCCCAAGUUAUGCUCUUGGCCGCGUAGGACUCUACCUGGCUUAUCCUCUUUUUCUUUGCAUUGCACAUAUGUUUGCCCAUCAUGUAAACAUUGAGUUAGCUGUAAAGAUAAGGCUAAAAAAUUGGUUAUUUUCUGUCGUCUGA